rnacentral:tRNA from 1 species
GCACUGUUAGUAUAGUGGUUAUUAUACUGGAUUUGUAACCCAGGGACAUCAGUUCAAUUCUGAUACAGUGCUCA